rnacentral:rRNA from 1 species
ACGGGGUGCAGCAGGCGCGAAAACUUGGCAAUGCGAGAAAUCGUGACCAGGGAACUCCAAGUGCAUGGGGUAAGACCCAUGCUUUUCUUGACUCUAAAUAGGUCUUGGAAUAAGGGGUGGGUAAGGACGGUGCCAGCCGCCGCGGUAAUACCGGCGCCUCAAGUGGUAGUCGCUUUUAUUGGGCCUAAAACGUCCGUAGCCGGUCUGAUACAUUCGUGGGUAAAUCAACCAGCUUAACUGGUUGAAUUCUGCGAGGACGGUCAGACUUGGGACCGGGAGAGGUGUGGGGUACGCUCAGGGUAGGGGUAAAAUCCUGUCAUCCUGAGCGGACCACCUGUUGCGAAGGCGCCACACUAGAACGGAUCCGACGGUCAGGGACGAAGCCUAGGGGCACGAACCGGAUUAGAUACCCGGGUAGUCCUAGGUGUAAACGCUGUGGACUUGAUGUUGGGGGUGCUCCGAGCACUCUCAGUGUCGAAGCGAAGGUGAUAAGUCCACUGCCUGGGAAGUACGGUCGCAAGGCUGAAGCUUAAAGGAAUUGGCGGG